rnacentral:rRNA from 1 species
CCUACGGGUGGCAGCAGUGAGGAAUAUUGGUCAAUGGGCGAGAUCCUGAACCAGCCAAGCCGCGUGAGGGCUGACGGCCCUAUGGGUUGUAAACUUCUUUUGUCCGCGCACAAAACCCGGGACGUGUCCCGGACUGCGUGUAUCCGAAGAAAAAGCAUCGGCUAACUCCGUGCCAGCAGCCGCGGUAAUACGGAGGAUGCGAGCGUUAUCCGGAUUUAUUGGGUUUAAAGGGUGCGUAGGCGGUUCGUUAAGUCAGCGGGAAAAUUGCGGGGCUCAACCCCGUCGAGCCGUUGAAACUGGCAGACUUGAGUUGGCGAGAAGUAUGCGGAAUGCGCGGUGUAGCGGUGAAAUGCUUAGAGAUCGCGAAGAACUCCGAUUGCGAAGGCAGCGUACGGGAGCCAGACUGACGCUGAGGCACGAAAGCGUGGGGAUCGAACAGGAUUAGAGACCAGUGUAGUC